GGUUUGAUUCUGGCUCAGAUUGAACGCUGGCGGGAUGCUUUACACAUGCAAGUCGAACGGCAGCACGGACUGGUCUGGUGGCGAGUGGCGAACGGGUGAGUAAUGUAUCGGAACGUGCCUAGCGGGGGAUACGCGAAAGCGUAGCUAAUACCGCAUACGCUCUUCGGGGAAAGCGGGGGAUCUUCGCCUCGCACUAUUAGAGCGGCCGAUAUCGGAUUAGCUAGUUGGUGGGGUAACGGCUCACCAAGGCGACGAUCCGUAGCUGGUUUGAGAGGACGACCAGUCACACUGACUGAGACACGGCCCAGACUCCUACGGGAGGCAGGCAGUGGGGAAUUUUGGACAAUGGGGAAACCCUGAUCCAGCCAUCCUUGGCGUGUGCGAUGAAGGCCUUCGGGUUGUAAAAGCACUUUUGGCAGGAAAGAAAACGGCACGGGAUAAUACCCCGUGCAACUGACGGUACCUGCAGAAUAAGCACCGGCUAACUACGUGCCAGCAGCCGCGGUAAUACGUAGGGGUGUUAAUCGGAAUUACUGGGCGUAAAAGCGUGCGCAGGCGGGUUCGAAGAAAGAUGGAACCUGUGAGCUUAACUUUGGAACUGCAUUUUUAACUACCGAGCUAGAGUGUGUCAGAGGGAGGCGGAAUUCCGCGUGUAGCAGUGGGAAUGCGUAGAUAUGCGGAGGAACACCGAUGGCGAAGGCAGCCUCCGGGAUAACACUGACGCUCAUGCACGAAAGCGGAGCAAACAGGAUUAGAUACCCUGGUAACCACGCCCUAAACGAUGUCAACUAGCUGCUGGGGCCUUCGGCCCGGUAGCGCAGCUAACGCGUGCUGACCGCCUGGGGAGUACGGUCGUGAUUAAAACUCAAAGGAAUUGACGGGGACCCGCACAAGCGGUGGAUGAUGUGAUUAAUCUGAUGCAACGCGAAAAACCUUACCUACCCUUGACAUGUCUGGAAUCCCGAAGAGAUUUGGGGAGUGCUCGCAAGAGAACCGGGAACACAGGUGCUGCAUGGCUGUCGUCAGCUCGUGUCGUGAGAUGCCGGGUUGUCCCGCAACGAGCGCAACCCUUGUCAUUAGUUGCUGCGAAAGGGCACUCUAUCGAGACUGCCGGUAUAACCGGAGGAAGGUGGGGAUGACGUCAAGUCCCCGCGGCCCUUAUGGGUAGGGCUUCACACGUCAUACAACAGUCGGGACAGAGGGUCGCCAACCCGCGAGGGGGAGCCAAUCCCAGAAACCCGAUCAAACUGGAUCGCAGUCUGCAACUCGACCGCGUGAAGUCGGAAUCGCUAAUCGCGGAUCAGUAUGUCGCGGUGAAUACGUUCCCGGGUCUUGUACACACCGCCCGUCACAAGACCAUGGGAGUGGGUUUUACCAGAAGUAGUUAGCCCAACCGGGCAGAGGGCGAUUACCACGGUAGGAUUCAUGACUGGGGUGAAGUCGUAACAAGGUAA
rnacentral:rRNA from 1 species